rnacentral:rRNA from 1 species
AUUGAACGCUGGCGGCAUGCCUAACACAUGCAAGUCGAGCGGAAGCAGGUUACUCUCACCUGGGUCCAGCGGCGGACGGAUGUGUCAUGCCUAGGCCUCUCCCUGGGAGUAACGGCUCGCGUCCGGAGCCAGUCCCUCAUACCACCUGCGUCCUGAGGCAGAGAGUCGGGGAUCUUCGCACGUUUCGCUCUCCGGUUAUCCUAGUUCGGAUUAGCUAGUUGGUGGGGUAAAGGCCUACCAAGGCGACGAUCCGUAACUGGUCUGAGAGGAUGACCAGUCACACUGGAACUGAGACACGGCCCAGACUCCUACGGGAGGCAGCAGUGGGGAAUAUUGGACAAUGGGCGAAAGCCUGAUCCAGCCAUGCCGCGUGUGGGAAGAAGGUCUUCGGAUUGUAAAGCGCUUUAGGUAGGGAGGAAGAGGUGUAAGUUAAUACCUGGCUGUUAUGACGGUACCAGAAGAAUAAGCACCGGCUAACUUCGUG